AUGUGUUAUUUUUAUUGCGGUUUGCCUCCUCCGUCUCAAACUUGUCUCUAUACUUUGCAGAAUUGCGUCAGCGGGAAGAAGACCGAGAAAGACAGAAAAGACUGGGAAAUGAAAUCGAGGCAGGUCGAUGAACUGAGAUUGCGCGAGGAAGAAUUGUCGAUGAGAAUGCUGACACCGGAGGAUGAAAUGCGGAUGAGAUCAUGGAAGCCCCAGGCUAUCCUCAGGAUCAGAAGCCAUUCGUUGAAGCUUUCGAUAGUCCGAGAGGAUUCCCACCAGGCAACCGAUUUGACGCAGCCGACGGUCCUGUUCCGCGAGGAGGCGGACCCAGAGGCGAAGGAGGCAGGGGUGGUGGCGGUCGUUGGGCCCCAGCAGAUCGUCGGGGGCCCGGACCCGGUGGACCUGGUCCGGACGAUUUCCAAAACAAGCGACGCCGAUACUAGAGCAUGCGAGAUCUUCAAAUUCCCCCCCCAUAUAUUCUCCAUGUACAGUAUUAUGCUAUAGGAUCUUUCAUCUAAUUUGUACGCCUAGCAUGUCUCAGUCAAAUUCACCAAAUUUUGCUUGAGUUGGGUAUUGAUGUAUAGUUGGUUCUAGUUAACAGAUAGUACUCAUUCUUAAGAUUUCAAUACCCAGCGUUCCUUCCGCUGCUAAUUAAUCGACAUCGCCGAAAGGAAACAAAUCAGGGUGUCUGCAGAAGCUAAGAAAAAUAGGGGGAUAAAUUUUAUUCUGGACCUGCAUAAACUUGGCAAAAAAAUCUGGAAUUUUUCCUUGUUGUUCAAGUUUUCUUUGUUUUCCGAGUUUUGAUGACUGCAAGAACAAAAUGUUCAAAAAUUGAAUCUUCAUGCAGAAAAAAGAAAACUCUUCUGUCCAUUUAAAAUUAAUGUCGAGAACCUCUUCCUUUUUGUUUUGAGUGUUGUGGCGCGGAAAAGUUAAACCAAUUUUGUUACAGAAUCUGCAGACACCUUUUGAACAUUAAUAAGUCUUAGCAGCCGUAUUACCUCAUACUGGGUUAUUAAUUUACCCUGUCAAGUUUAUGAAUCAUUUUUUACAAUCUUAAACUAAACAAAUUACAUUUAAAUUUAUUGAUACAUCUCCUAUUCUCAGGGGCCUGAAUUUGCUUCAUAUCGUGUUUAAGUUGGUUAAUUAGGAAGUGGUUUUAAAAUUUGAUAAUCAAAAACGAACCAGAACCCGGGACAUUUUUACUAUUUUUAUACUCAGAAAUUUUUAAGUAUUCCAUAAUUUUUUCUCCCUAUCUCUGUCUCCUAAUCAUUCAAAUUGAACGUGUUCUCAAAUUAUUUCUUAUUUCCCUUUUAAGUGCUAUAAGAGUUUUUAUGUACAGUUCUUUUGGUUGCCAGAUUAUAAACUUUGACUCAUUUUUCGCAGAGAAAAAAGUAUUGAAUUCUUUUUUUUUCCCUUUUUUUUACUUAUAUCGUCUGAGAUACUUUGAGCAGGACUCAUUUCGUGUCGGGCAAUUCGAAGGGAGAAUAAAAUUUUCAGGAAUGGACUCCGGUUGUUCCUUUAAAUCCCAGCAACAUACUUAAUCAGUGUUAAUGCCAUAAUCGAGCUGAAAGAUGAUAAUUUGGUCAGCAGCUCCUCAUUGUUUCCAUUUAAUUUAUUUUUUCUUCUUCGUGCUCUGUAACCAAUUACAGAUUUUUUUUUACUAGACAUAACUUAUUUCAUUUUCUCACAUUCAUACCUUCAUUUUUAUAUUAUCCUUCCAUUAAUCUUCGCUGUGAAUGUGUUUAUAUUUAUUGGAAUUUAUCACUGGAAGUUAAGUCACUCGAGACAGUAUCUUUUGUACAACGUCUAGUUCAGUAAGGUCAGGUUUGAUUCUAUUCAAUUUGGAAGUCUGCGAUAAAAAGAUAAAAAUUUUGAGUAGAACAGAAUUUUCUUUUUUGUUUUCCUCCCGUCACAACUAGUUCAGAAACAGUAUCCUUAAAUAGCGAACAUUUCCUCGAUUUUUUUAUUUUUAUUGACGAAAAAAGUUGAGCAACUCAUUGUAGCUCUCUUUGAAAUUACUGACAAGGGAGUGUGAACGAUUAUUAUUGAGAAUAGUUAAAAUGUAGAGUUCGAUUUUUCCGUUUGUGACAGACUAAUUUCAGAAAGUCAGGAGAUCCUCCUCUAAAAUUUGUUUCGGAUGAUAUGCCGAAGGUCUGAUCGUGUGAUUUAGCCCUAGACUCCCACCAGUAAAUAGACAAAGGCAUUACUUAAAUGGUCUUGACGAUUUUUAGUGUAAUUUUCUUUUUGACGUUGUAUACAUUUCUGAAAUAAUUCAUGCAAUCAAUGUAUAUUAUCAAAUACCUAUCUAAGCAUAAUCAGACCUCAAAGCAAGUUAGAGUAAUGCACCUUCAUGCUAUGACACAGAACAAACUCACAACUAACUGCCAAGUAUGUUAAACUGGGAUUCCACAGUAAUUUUUGGGGAGUGUUCGCUGCUUAACAUCAGAAACUCUGACAAUUGCCAGAGUUUACGCCCGAGUGAAAUGUGCAUUUUUGGUUGUCAUCAUUCUUACUAAAUUAGGAAGUAACGUUAAUUUUUAUUGAUAAUAAAAUCUGCGAUCUACUUUUAUUAGAAGGUAUCAAAGUGAGAAUUGCAAAAUGGUAACAUAUCAUAGCCUCAAGAUACCUCAUUUUAGCAGAUUUACUUGCGCAUGAUAAUUGGUCUGCAUUUUGCAAUUUGGAACUAUAAAUUCUGGCCCCGGUUUAAAAACAACGUAUGUGCCGUUAGUUUCCCUAUGCACAUAAGUGUUUUUUCAGAUGAGCCGGAAUUUAUAAGUCCAAAUUGCAAAAUGCAGUCCAAUUGGAAAAAAUCAAUCAUAUCUUGAAGGCAUAUAGAAGGAAGAAAAAGCCCACUGUCUUGUAGAUUUGCAUUUCCUUUCUUACUCAAAGUACCGAACUGUCAGUUAUCCUGGAAAGCUUGGAGGCGUAUUUGUCUCAUCAAAUGAAUAACUCCAGUUAAAAAUUCAGAGUCUAUUACUAUCUAAGACAAGUUAGCAGAAUUUAUCAUUUCCCAAGGUAGAAAAUCAAACUGAUGUCUUAUUCUGAUACAAGGAAAGUGGGAGGAAAAAGCAUAAUAUCUUUUCAGCAGCUGUAAGCAAUCAAGGAACCAGUCCUAAUCCUCGAUUAAGCCGGACGUUAAUACUCAAGAAACUCUUUAGAGCUAUUUAAUGCAAAAAAAAAAACAGUGAUUACUUAGAUGCUUGACAUCAGAUGUGUGGUUUGUGAGUCAACUUAGUUCCACAGAAGAUAUCAGCGUUACUUAAUGCGUCCUCCGGCAUUCAAUAGACAAUUUUUUCUAUUAAAUUAUCUUAAAAUCGGACUCAGCGGGUCAUUUCCAAGUGGACUAGCUUGGUUUCGGCUCGAUCGGAGAACUUUCGAUU
rnacentral:lncRNA from 1 species